CGGGUAGAGCGUGUUCCGUUCUCCAUAAUGGCGUGCCGACUGCGCUAAUGAUUCGAAUAUUUUUCAUUUAGAAAAUCAACAGUACUCCCCGUAAUGAAUUUCUACGCGGGACGCAUCGACACCGCUGGCAAAGAUUUCAAAGCCUGUUAUCGAGUGUAAUAUAAUAACACGGUACAUUUAGAAUGCCAAACGUAGGAGGAUUACACAGCGAAGGAGAGUACACGAGGCUAUAUCCAACGCGAGGGAGAUACGUGCUCCUCGAGCUUAAUAGCUCGACGAUGACAUCGUGGCUCCACCUACUCCUCUCUAUAAUUGUCCUCCAUUACUGCACUGAUAACCGUACUCUCCGCGAGUCGUGCGUUGUCCCUCAUAACAUCCAUUACGCCACCGCGGCUACUGCAUCGCGAGAUACAUUAUCGUGCACAUGCAGCAUGCACACGUGAAUCGCAAGUGCAUAAGCAAAUUACCAGAGGAAAAAGAAUAAGAAGAAGGCAUCGUUUGGAAUCUCUGUAUCACGUUAGGAUCGUUGUAACGAGAUCAUCGUCCCACGGCGUCCAUCCAGAUAGCAAAAUCUUCUUGGGCAGACUCAAUCCCGGCCAGUGAAUUCUCUCCUGAACGCGGCGCAGCGUUUACGGGAGCAAUCGAAGCGUGACUCUCUGGUGUCCUGUGUCCUGCGUCCUGUGUUCUACGUCCCGCGUGUUCUUUGACCGUGACCACGAAGCGUGGCAGUCGUGCGUGUGUCACUCAGUGACUCCUGGCCUCGCGGAUCACUCCUACUCCGCCCAGAACGUGCACGCGUGCUUUCUCCCGGGGUUCGUUCCUUGUCCCUUCUUGACCCUCGCCAGUCCUCUCCCGUUAUAUACUCGCCGGUGCUGCCCCCCCUCGGUACUCUAUCCCGUAGUUUCUUUAUAUCAUACUAUAGUAUAAUCCAGGCAUAGGUAGAUGAUACCCCCCUCGGGUAUGGCUUCUGUUCCCCUCGCCGAACACUCCUGACCAACCCGAUGCUGCUGCUGGCCGCCGCUGUGGCUGCUGCUGACGAAGCGUCGACUUCAGGAGGGCACGACGCUGCUGCUCCUCUCUGCUCCUAGGGGUGGAUGACUUCGCUUGGCUCUUCGCGGUCUCGUGUUCCUCUCCAGGCCGAGGAACUACUGUUUGCCACAUGGCCUCUCCUCUCUUUUGCUCUCUUACCCUUACUCCUGCUCUACUCUCUAUCUACCUACUGCACGCUGCUGGCUUAUACUCGGUCUCUCUCGUUCCCUCGCUGAAACGUCUGUCCAGCUCCGUCCCACGCGCUCGUACUAUCCGCUCCCUGUGCGCUGCUGCUGCUGCUGCUGCCAACCUCGCCGCAAUUAUUGCUAGCGUUCUGGCCUGACGUGACGUGACGGCAAGCCCAUGUGGGGGUCAGCCUUUGGGGUUAGGCGAAAUUACGCUGGGGAGACCAGCCCGAGGAGUAAGCGCGGAUACGCGUGCCACGAGUUGUACGUCCUAUCGCCACGCUCGAAAUCUCACGUACGUGCUGUACGGGUAAAGGGUUACCGAGGUGCUCGCUACCGUGAGUGGGCAGAGUGGCAAAGGCUCUUUGGGACUGACGUGCGUGGCGAAUCACGGUUCCAACUUUUGGCCGUACCGAUACUCUACCUCUGAUCACUGUACUCUUCGUUGUCCACUCGUGCGCGAUGGACCGUUAAAUAUUGUGGCAAAGACAAGCGGCCUAUCGCAAUGGCUAUGGGGAUCCAUGGUUUUAAUAGAUCUCACCAGGUCAACAAGAAAGCAAUGAGUGACCUUCAAAGUGGCCAGAUAAAACAAGAUAUUACAGUGGGCGUAAGAAAGGGCAAGGUAGUACACCGCUUAGAAAGCACUUCUCGUGAUGUAGUCGGUCAGUCUGUACGACGGUUGGUUCGUCCGACCAGAUAGACCCGACCGGGCAAGAGAGCCGCCGGGGAAAGGAGAGAAGAGGAGGUGAUGGCUGAUAGAGGAGCGCAGAGAGGAGGAGCAGGGAGUCCGAGUGAGGGAAAAUCAAGAGAGAGGGAGAGCUGGAAUAACCAAGCAAGAGAUAGGACCGAGGAAGAACAAGAUCGAAGUGGAUAGAACGAGAGAGAGCG